rnacentral:rRNA from 1 species
AUUGAACGCUGGCGGCAUGCCUUACACAUGCAAGUCGAACGGCAGCACGGGUGCUUGCACCUGGUAGCGAGUGGCGAACGGGUGAGUAAUACAUCGGAACGUACCUUAUCGUGGGGGAUAACGCAGCGAAAGCUGUGCUAAUACCGCAUACGCCCUGAGGGGGAAAGCGGGGGAUCGAAAGACCUCGCGCGAUUAGAGCGGCCGAUGCCUGAUUAGCUUGUUGGUGGGGUAAAAGCCCACCAAGGCGACGAUCAGUAGCUGGUCUGAGAGGACAGUCAGACGAACGGGGAGUGAGAAAAGGCGCAGACUCCUACGGGAGGCAGCAGUGGAGAAGUUUGGACAAUGGGGGCAAACCUGAUCCAGCAAGGCCGCGUGAUUUAAGAAGGCCUUCGGGUUGUAAAGCUCUUUUGUCAGGGAAGAAACACCGGCUCUAACACAGUCCGGGAAUGACGGUACCUGAAGAAUAAGCACCGGCUAACUACGUGCCAGCAGCCGCGGUAA